AGCGAACGCUGGCGGCAGGCCUAACACAUGCAAGUCGAACGAACCCUUCGGGGUUAGUGGCGGACGGGUGAGUAACACGUGGGAACGUGCCUUUAGGUUCGGAAUAACUCAGGGAAACGUGUGCUAAUACCGAAUGUGCCCUUCGGGGGAAAGAUUUAUCGCCUUUAGAGCGGCCCGCGUCUGAUUAGCUAGUUGGUGAGGUAAUGGCUCACCAAGGCUACGAUCAGUAGCUGGUCUGAGAGGAUGACCAGCCACAUUGGGACUGAGACACGGCCCAAACUCCUACGGGAGGCAGCAGUGGGGAAUCUUGCGCAAUGGGCGAAAGCCUGACGCAGCCAUGCCGCGUGGAUGAUGAAGGUCUUAGGAUUGUAAAAUCCUUUCACCGGUGAGGAUAAUGACUGUAGCCGGAGAAGAAGCCCCGGCUAACUUCGUGCCAGCCGCCGCCGUAAUAC
rnacentral:rRNA from 1 species